ACAAACUUGGUCAUUUAGAGGAAGUAAAAGUCGUAACAAGGUCUCCGUAGGUGAACCUGCGGAGGGAUCAUUACCGAUUGAAUGAAAGGCCGUUCCGCGGCGGUUCGGGGACGCUGGGUUUACCCGGCUGACCUGGCUGCCCGGGGCGGUCCCACCAAACCCUUGCGUCUCGAUUGUUUUGCCUCGGGGGCAGGUGCCGACCCGGCGCCCGCCCCCGGUGGCCAUCAUCCAACUCGUUGUUAACCGUUUGUCCGAGUAAUAAAGAAAUGGAAACAAAACUUUCAACAACGGAUCUCUUGGUUCUGGCAUCGAUGAAGAACGCAGC
rnacentral:misc_RNA from 1 species